AUUGAACGCUGGCGGCAGGCCUAACACAUGCAAGUCGAGCGGAGCGGCGGACGGGGACGUAAUGCCUAGGAAUCUGCCUGUUAGUGGGGGAUAACGUCCGGAAACGGGCCCUAAUACCGCAUACUCUCCGAUUAGCCUAGGUCGGAUUAGCUAGUUGGUGGGGUAAAGGCCUACCAAGGCGACGAUCCGUAACUGGUCGGAGAGGAGGAUCAGUCACACUGGAACUGAGACACGGUCCAGACUCCUACGGGAGGCAGCAGUGGGGAAUAUUGGACAAUGGGCGAAAGCCUGAUCCAGCCAUGCCGCGUGUGGGAAGAAGGUCUUCGGAUUGUAAAGCACUUUAAGUUGGGAGGCGUUACCAACAGAAUAAGCACCGGCUAACUUCGUGCCAGCAGCCGCGGUAAUAC
rnacentral:rRNA from 1 species